rnacentral:rRNA from 1 species
AUUGAACGCUGGCGGCAGGCCUAACACAUGCAAGUCGAGCGGAUGAAGGGAGCUUGCUCCUGGAUUCAGCGGCGGACGGGUGAGUAAUGCCUAGGAAUCUGCCUGGUAGUGGGGGAUAACGUCCGGAAACGGGCGCUAAUACCGCAUACGUCCUGAGGGAGAAAGUGGGGGAUCUUCGGACCUCACGCUAUCAGAUGAGCCUAGGUCGGAUUAGCUAGUUGGUGGGGUAAAGGCCUACCAAGGCGACGAUCCGUAACUGGUCUGAGAGGAUGAUCAGUCACACUGAACUGAGACACGGUCCAGACUCCUACGGGGGGCAGCAGUGGGGAAUAUUGGACAAUGGGCGAAAGCCUGAUCCAGCCAUGCCGCGUGUGUGAAGAAGGUCUUCGGAUUGUAAAGCACUUUAAGUUGGGAGGAAGGGCAGUAAGUUAAUACCUUGCUGUUUUGACGUUACCAACAGAAUAAGCACCGGCUAACUUCGUG